UGACGAUGUUGAAAUAUUCUUUCUUCAGCC
rnacentral:piRNA from 1 species